UGGUGAAUAUUGGACAAUGGGCGAAAGCCUGAUCCAGCCAUGCCGCGUGUGUGAAGAAGGUCUUCGGAUUGUAAAGUACUUUAAGUUGGGAGGAAGGGCAGUAAGCGAAUACCUUGCUGUUUUGACGUUACCGACAGAAUAAGCACCGGCUAACUCUGUGCCAGCAGCUGCGGUAAUACAGAGGGUGCAAGCGUUAAUCGGAAUUACUGGGCGUAAAGCUCGCGUAGGUGGUUCGUUAAGUUGAAUGUGAAAGCCCCGGGCUCAACCUGGGAACUGCAUCCAAAAAUGGCGGGGUGGAGUAGGUCAGAGGGUGGUGGAAUUUCCUGUGUAGCGGUGAAAAGCGUAGAUAUAGGAAGGAACACGAGUGGCGAAGGCGACCACCUGGGCUCAUACUGACACUGGGGUGCGAGAGAGUGGGGAGCAAACAGG
rnacentral:rRNA from 1 species